UGCCUCAAAGCCUUUCCAUGCAUCCACCUC
rnacentral:piRNA from 1 species